GACCUACUCCCUCCGUUCGGAAUUACUUGUCACAAGAAUGAACGUAUCUAUAACGAAAAUACAUCUAGAUACAUUCAUUUCUUGGACGAGUAAUUCUGAACGGAGGGAGUAAAAU
rfam:Triticum aestivum genome assembly, contig: Triticum_aestivum_CS42_TGACv1_scaffold_592113_7BS